rnacentral:rRNA from 1 species
GUAGUCAUAUGCUUGUCUCAAAGAUUAAGCCAUGCAUGUCUAAGUAUAAGCAACUUGUACAGUGAAACUGCGAAUGGCUCAUUAAAUCAGUUAUCGUUUAUUUGAUAAUCCCUUACUACAUGGAUACCUGUGGUAAUUCUAGAGCUAAUACAUGCUUCAAGGAGUGGCUUUCGUCACUCUGCACUUAUUAGAUAAAAAACCAAUGCCCCCAAAGGGCUCCUUGGUGAUUCAUAAUAAUUUAGCGGACCGCAUUCCCUCGCGGAGGCGGUGGAUCAUUCAAAUUUCUGCCCUAUCAACUUUCGAUGGUAGGAUAGUGGCCUACCAUGGUUUCAACGGGUAACGGGGAAU